rnacentral:rRNA from 1 species
GUGGGGAAUUUUGGACAAUGGGCGCAAGCCUGAUCCAGCCAUUCCGCGUGCAGGAUGAAGGCCUUCGGGUUGUAAACUGCUUUUGUACGGAACGAAAAGCCUCUGGUUAAUACCCGGGGGUCAUGACGGUACCGUAAGAAUAAGCACCGGCUAACUACGUGCCAGCAGCCGCGGUAAUACGUAGGGUGCGAGCGUUAAUCGGAAUUACUGGGCGUAAAGCGUGCGCAGGCGGUGAUGUAAGACAGUUGUGAAAUCCCCGGGCUCAACCUGGGAACUGCAUCAGUGCAUGCAUUGCUGGAGUGCGGCAGAGGGGGAUGGAAUUCCGCGUGUAGCAGUGAAAUGCGUAGAUAUGCGGAGGAACACCGAUGGCGAAGGCAAUCCCCUGGGCCUGCACUGACGCUCAUGCACGAAAGCGUGGGGAGCAAACAGGAUUAGAAACCCUGGUAGUCC